rnacentral:lncRNA from 1 species
UCAUCACAAACAUUUUCUUUCAAAAUAUUAAUUCAUCAUAAUGUCCAUAUGCUUAGCUCUUCCAUUACGCCCAUAUGCAUAUAUCAUAACAAAUACAAAGGCACAAACAACAUGGUAGUGAAAGUUGAAAUAUUUAAGGCAAAGCUAGCUUCACUGGUGAAGUGAUAUCAUAAAGCAAAAUUAUAAUAGAAGAACUAAGCUGGCCAUGGGAACGGCACUUUGGGUUGAGUUCCAGCUGCUGCUUCAUCAGAUUUGGUGGCUGAAGUGCUUGCUUCCCCCUUUGCCUUGCUCUAAAUAGACAACAAUUAUAGAACAUAACCAAUUCAAUAACAAUAUGUGCUUCUAUUUUAAAACUAAAUUCAUUUGUAUAUCAUAUGUCUCUCUCAAAUACAUUCCCUCUCAAGUUUCAUUUUAAAAAUGAUUGAACGCAUUUCCACCGCAGCUGCCGCCGCUGCUAGGGCCGCCGCCUGUACAUUAUAUAAAAUAUAAAAGAGAAAUGCAGUCACAUAAUAUAUAUAUAUGGAUGUAUGUAUGUAUAAAAUAAUGCAGACCUGAGCUUGUUUGUAUUGAUCCUUGGAAAGUGUCUUAGGUUCAGGCUCUUCUAUAAGUGGCAGCUUUCCAAAAUCCUUCACAGGAGGUUGAUUUUCCAUUGGCUAAGCUUAAGAAGAUGGGCAGACAGGCAACAAGGUAAAAUAGAAGAUGAAGCUUGAAAUUUUUGGAGUUUGGGUUUGGCUAAAUGUACAAUUGUUGAGGUGAGAUGGUUAACUAGAAGAAAACGUGGCUACUGAUGAAUUCAGCAGGGUGUCUUAGGUUCAGGCUCUUCUAUAAGUGGCAGCUUUCCAAAAUCCUUCACAGGAGGUUGAUUUUCCAUUGGCUAAGCUUAAGAAGAUGGGCAGACAGGCAACAAGGUAAAAUAGAAGAUGAAGCUUGAAAUUUUUGGAGUUUGGGUUUGGCUAAAUGUACAAUUGUUGAGGUGAGAUGGUUAACUAGAAGAAAACGUGGCUACUGAUGAAUUCAGCAGGGU